AGAUACAGCAUUGCAUCUGCUGCUGACACCACACUGCCUGGUUCGGGUAAGAGUGAUUCCUUCAGAAAGACAGACAGCAGCAGCACGCCCCUGGUCCUCUCACCACAGAGGCUCCUGACUCCUACAGAGAACUGUGGGUAGAAAAGACUGAUGACCAUUGGUGUGCCUGCACAAAUGAACAAGAUGAUUGCAACUGACCACACCACCACAGCGGGGUCUUCCUUGUGAUUAUAAACCUGCAAAAGUGGACACCUCAUGACCAGGGCUCUAGUUGAUGUGCAAGUACCUGUUAUGGAUAGCAGGGGGUGGGAGUGGAGGUGGGGGUGGGGUGGGGCGGGGAAAGACGACUUCAAAUCCAUAAUCCAAUCUCACAAGGGAGUCUUGCCUGGUGUCCAACGAAAGGAUGUGGAAAAGGAAAAGACCACAACCGCGGACAUCUUGAGGAAGCUACUGGAAACAC
rnacentral:lncRNA from 1 species